AGUUAAGAUAUUUCCAGCGUCAAAUUUAAUCCAGCCUGCAAUUUCCAAGAAGGACAGAACAGCACUUCAAACGCGGAGGAUUGCUCUGAAGAGCCUAUCUGGUCUUAACUACCUGCUGCCACCCAAAUCUGGAGCCCAGCUGCGGGGAAGAGUUUGCGACGUGAUGGCACUGAUAACAGAUUCCAUUGUUGCUGCAGCGUUUGAGAUGAAAGAUGCUUCAGUUUGGGAUCGUUUGUGGAUUCAGUGCGCCACUUUUGUGCCUCCCGCAUUGCCAUUUGACUAGUCUGAGCAACUUUCCAGAAAGGUACAUGUUCCAAAGCUAUCACACACCUGACAAAACACACACAGGCACCUAGCGAUGUUUCUUUUUGUGUGUACAGACGCUAAAUAAAUAGCAUUUUGCUGGGCCAUAAGAGAGCCCUGCUGGAUCAAGACAAAGGCUCAUCUAGUCCUGUUAGUGGUGUGGCAAAUUGUAGGGCAGUUUUUCUAUGUUCCAUACCCUCUACCCCUCACACUCCUCUAUCACCAACCAGGUGUGCGGGCAUGCAACUUAAUCCCAUCCAAAAAUAUCAAGAGUCUGGAAGCAUCCUGAGCGGCAUGUUGCCAGUUAUUCCUACAAAAUAAGCAACAGUAUGGAGGGGCUGA